UUGUAGGGGAGACCGGGGCUAGUUGGCUCACGGGCCAAUAGUUGCAAAAUCGACAGUUAGAUGGUCUGACGUUGUUUCAGUUUUUCUAUUGUGCAAAAUAAACGAACAGCAUACGAAAAACGUUUUCGACAGCUGCUGACUAACUUUUUUUUCCGCCGUGCUUUUCUUUUUCUUGACGUAGGAAAUGAGGACUUAUAUUCGCAAAAAAAGCCAUGCUUCAGCAUCUCCUGAACUUAUUCGAAUGGCCAUUAAUUUGGUAAAAGAAGAUAACAGAAAAAUCUCUGACGUAUCUAAGGCACUGAGUAUUCCAAGAAGAUCUUUGACUCGUUAUAUAAAAACUGGAGAAGAACAGCCAUUAGUUGGCUACAGCAAGUCACGCAAGGUCUUUUCAUCUGCGCAUGAGAAUGACUUGGAAGAAUACCUUCACCAAUCAGCUGAUAUCUACUAUGGGCUCUCUCCGAAGGAAGUCAGAAAGAUGGCCUGGCGUUAUGCCUCCAUGCUUGUCACACUGGCUUGUGCCGUUUCAGCUACUGGAAAUUCUAUUCCCCCAUUUUUCAUAUUCCCUAGGGCAAACUUCAAGCCUCACAUGCUAAAUGGAGCCCCCCUCGGCAGUAAAGGAACGGCGAAUAAGUCCGGAUGGAUGUUGGAAUACUACAUGUGUGUUUCCUGUGCUAGUGGCCUAUGAAAUAUAUUGGAGCCAACUUGCCCCGUUGGCAUGGGCAACCUGCCCCCGGGAUGGGUUUAGGCGUGGGACGCUUCUAAACAAAAAGUGAGCCAAGUAGCCCCGGUCUCCCCCAAGGGGUUCGACACUCAAAAAAGGACUAGAAAAUGAAAAAAUUUGAUGCGCGGGAAUCAGUUCUACAAAUAAAAGAGAAGAAAAAGAUGCUUGAAACGCCCCAAUAUGAUAUAGUCCAAAUGAGAAAAAAAGGGGAAGUGGCGACUAAAAAUUUAUUUUUCGUCACUUUGAGAAGUAAGAGUUGAAUGUAGACUACUUUGUCGUGCGGUUCUGAACACCUGUAUCUGCGAUCUAGUGCCAAGAGUGACGAAAAUGGGGGAAAACUGUGUUUUUUCUAUUCUGCAUACAGAAUUUGACAUAAAUGUUACCCCAAAAAUCAAGUGCAUAUUAUUAAAGCUCGGUUAUAGUUCUUUUCGUACUUUGGCUCGAAUAAAUCCCGAUUGUGCUGAAUUAGAACAUUUUGUAAGAACAAUCCUUGCUGAUGUAGAUUACGUUGCUGACUUACCCGAAGCUGAGAAAGUCAGCAUUUUUGGAGAAAUGUUUGCAAAAAUUCCUUCGAAGUUUAGUUUUAUGCCAGGAGAAAAAGCUUUAAUUGCUGAUGUUGUUGACACUGCUCAAAAAAUAACAGCGCGAAGUCAAGAAAACUUUUCCUAUGACAUUUUACCGUCAUCAGGACGCAAAAGAAAGAGAGUGUCUACCUUCAGUUCAUCAGAGUCAGGGAGAAAAAAAAAUAACAGUGCUGAUGGCUUGGCUGAUAUGCCUGUGAAUGGAGGAUUACAAGAAGUUAGCCCUACUAAUGUUCUUCCCAUAGAUUCUGUGAUGCGAGUCGUAAGUCGUGCUGCAAAUGUUUCAGAAGGCCAAAGUGAUAUGACAAACGUUACGUUAGAAGGAACACUUGAAGAAACACAAAAUACUACACGCGUGAUAAGACGAAAGGGAAAAUCGUUACAGGAAUACUUAUUCAAUUGGAUUUCAAAAAGCAAACUUCGUGAUACGUGGGAUUUACCGUCUAUUAAAUGGACGAUUGACAAUCAUGAAAGCGAACAGCCUAAAAUUACUUGUUCUACGUGUAAAAUAGCGCCGUUUAACGUAAAUGGUGACAAACAUGUCGGCUGGAAAUUUUCUGCUUAUGUGAAUCACAUCAAUAAUUUCCACAAAAGGAAGCACGGUCAUGAUGCUACAAGUCAUGGGGCAACCCCAGGAACCAGUGGUCAAAGUAAUCAAGCCCAAAUUUCACAAUCACAACCUAAUAGACUUUGCUCCGGAGCAUCUUCAUCAGAAACUGUCGGGUCGGAACCUUCUAACUUGCCUUCUAAUGAGAGCCAGGUUUUCAGUAACGGACAGCAGUAGUGAGUCGUACUCUGUCCAGAAAACGCAAUCAAAAGACUCAAGCUCAAGAAGAACAUUGCUUCAACGCUUGAACAUUCAAGCUAGCGUUCAAAUUAAAAAAAACCUGGUGGAUAUCGUUACGACAAGGAUAUUGGACUAUUACAUUUUGCCAUGUACAGUUAUAUUCAGGGUGGUCGUAAAUUUUAUGAAGUGUUAAGUGCUAAUUUUGAAGGAAUAUUUCCUAGUUGCAGAACUAUUGAGAGAAAAUUAUCCUCGUUUCACAAAUCAGUACCCGAAGGAGAAGUAAAUGUUGCGUUACUUAAAGAAAUUUUGGAUAAACAUAGACUGCCACCAGUCGUUUCCAUUGCGGAAGACGGAACAGCCAUCGUCGGACAGAGAGAAUACGAUAAAAGGACAAACAGAGUCAUUGGAUUUAGUCUUCCGCUGCGAUGCAAUGGAUUUCCCGAUUCGCUAGCUUCUUCUGUCAGGACCGCCGAGGAUAUUGUUAAUUUAUUCGAAAAAUAUGAACGUGCAGCUGUGGUUAUCACUGUUAUGGCGCAAACCAUGGAUGAGCAAAUCCCGGCUAUCCGGAUUGCUUCUUUCUGUUCAAACAACAGAUUUACGGCAGACGAUGUUAAGCACAGGGCUAAUUAUAUUGAAGCCGAACUAAACAAGUUGGGAAUCCGAAUGCUUACAUAUUCCGCAGACGGAGACAGUAGAGAAAUGAAAAUGAUGCGCCAAGUUUUGAAUUUAGGUGCGCU
rnacentral:misc_RNA from 1 species